GAUGAACGCUAGCGGGAGGCCUAACACAUGCAAGCCGAGCGGUAGAAAGUAGCUUGCUACUUUUGAGAGCGGCGUACGGGUGCGUAACACGUGUGCAACCUGCCUUUAUCUGGGGGAUAGCCUUUCGAAAGGAAGAUUAAUACUCCAUAACAUAUUGAACGGCAUCGUUUAAUAUUGAAAGCUCCGGCGGAUAGAGAUGGGCACGCGCAAGAUUAGCUAGUUGGUGAGGUAACGGCUCACCAAGGCGAUGAUCUUUAGGGGGCCUGAGAGGGUGAUCCCCCACACUGGUACUGAGACACGGACCAGACUCCUACGGGAGGCAGCAGUGAGGAAUAUUGGUCAAUGGGUGCAAGCCUGAACCAGCCAUCCCGCGUGAAGGACGACUGCCCUAUGGGUUGUAAACUUCUUUUGUAUAGGGAUAAACCUACCCUCGAGAGGGUAGCUGAAGGUACUAUACGAAUAAGCACCGGCUAACUCCGUGCCAGCAGCCGCGGUAAUACGGAGGGUGCAAGCGUUAUCCGGAUUUAUUGGGUUUAAAGGGUCCGUAGGCGGACUUAUAAGUCAGUGGUGAAAGCCUGUCGCUUAACGAUAGAACUGCCAUUGAUACUGUAAGUCUUGAGUAUAUUUGAGGUAGCUGGAAUAAGUAGUGUAGCGGUGAAAUGCAUAGAUAUUACUUAGAACACCAAUUGCGAAGGCAGGUUACCAAGAUAUAACUGACGCUGAGGGACGAAGCGUGGGGGAGCGAACAGG
rnacentral:rRNA from 1 species